rnacentral:tRNA from 1 species
GCCCAGCUAGCUCAGUCGGUCGAGCACAAGACUGUUGAACUUGUGGUCAUGGGUUCGAGUACCACGUUGGAUA